UACGUAGGCAGCAAGCGUUGUUCGGAAUUACUGGGCGUAAAGAGUGUGUAGGCGGUUCUCUAAGUUCCGUGUGAAAUCUCCCGGCUUAACUGGGAGGGUGCGCGGAAGACUGGAGGGCUGGAGUAUGGGAGAGGAAAGCGGAAUUCCUGGUGUAGCGGUGGAAUGCGCAGAUAUCAGGAGGAACACCGGUGGCGAAGACGGGUCUCUGGGCAGUAACUGACGCUGAGGAGCGAAAGCGUGGGGAGCGAACAGG
rnacentral:rRNA from 1 species